GAAGGUCCCCCACAUUGGAACUGAGACACGGUCCAAACUCCUACGGGAGGCAGCAGUGAGGAAUAUUGGUCAAUGGGCGAGAGCCUGAACCAGCCAAGUAGCGUGAAGGAUGACUGCCCUAUGGGUUGUAAACUUCUUUUAUAAGGGAAUAAAGUGAGGGACGUGUCCCUUUUUGUAUGUACCUUAUGAAUAAGGAUCGGCUAACUCCGUGCCAGCAGCCGCGGUAAUACGGAGGAUCCAAGCGUUAUCCGGAUUUAUUGGGUUUAAAGGGAGCGUAGGUUGACAUAUAAGUCAGCUGUGAAAGUUUACGGCUCAACCGUGAAAUUGCAGUUGAUACUGUAUGUCUUGAGUGUACAAGAGGUGGGCGGAAUUCGUGGUGUAGCGGUGAAAUGCUUAGAUAUCACGAAGAACUCCGAUUGA
rnacentral:rRNA from 1 species